rnacentral:rRNA from 1 species
CCUACGGGUGGCAGCAGUAGGGAAUAUUGCUCAAUGGGGGAAACCCUGAAGCAGCAACGCCGCGUGGAGGAUGAAGGUUUUAGGAUUUUUAACUCCUUUUGUUAGAGGAGAUUAUGACGGUAUCUGACGAAUAAGCACCGGAUAACUGCGGGCCAGUAGCCGCGGUAAUACGGAGGGUGCAAGCGUUACUCGGAAUCACUGGGCGUAAAGAGGGCGUAGGCGGGGUAAUAAGUCAGAUGUGAAAUCCUGUAGCUUAACUACAGAACUGCAUUUGAAACUGGUACUCUGGAGUGUGGGAGAGGUAGGUGGAAUUCGUGGUGUAGGGGUAAAAUCCGUAGAGAUCAAGAGGAACACUCAUUGCGAAGGCGACCUGCUGGAACAUUACUGACGCUGAUGCACGAAAGCGUGGGGAGCAAACAGGAUUAGAUACCCUAGUAGUC